rnacentral:rRNA from 1 species
GAUGAACGCACAAGACGUGCCUAACACAUGCAAAUCGAAUGAAAAUAAUUAAUUAUUGUUUUCAUGGUGAACGGGUGAGUAACACAUAAGAAUCAGCUUUUAGAUAAGGCAUAAAAGAGUAAUAUCUUGGUAAUUCCUUAUAUGCGCAGCAGUGCUUAAAAAGGGGAGUCCCGCCUAAAAACGAGCUUAUGCCUGAUUAGCUAGUUGGCGAGUUAAAAGCUCACCAAGGCGAAGAUCAGUAGCUGGCCUGAGAGGGCGGCCAGCCACAUUGGGACUGAGACACGGCCCAAACUCCUACGGGAGGCAGCAGUGGGGAAUCUUCUGCAAUGGGCGCAAGCCUGACAGAGCGGCGUCGUGUGAAGGAAGAAGGCCUGAAAUAGGUUGUAAACUUCUUUUACUGAGUAAUGAAUAAUGACAACGCAGUAAAAAAGUAUCGGCUAACUCCGUGCCAGCAGCCGCGGUAAUACGGGGGAUGCAAGCGUUAUCCGGAAUCACUGGGCGUAAAGCGUCUGUAGGUGGUUUAGUGUGUUCUUAGUUAAAUUAUGAAGCUUAACUUCAUGAAAAGUAAGAAAACUAUUAGACUUGAGUACGAUAGGGGUAAGAGGAAUUCUUCGAGAAGUAGUGAAAUGCGAAGAUACGAAGGAGAAGAUCAUAAGCGAAGGCUUCUUACUGGGUCGUAACUGACACUGAGAGACGAAAGCUAGGGGAGCGAAUGGGAUUAGAUACCCCAGUAGUCCUAGCUGUAAACGAUGGAUAUUCGGUGCC